rnacentral:rRNA from 1 species
CUACGGGGGGCUCCAGCUAAGAAUCUUCCGCAAUGGGCGCAAGCCUGACGGAGCGACGCCGCGUGGAUGAUGAAGGCCUUCUGGGUUGUAAAAUCCUUUUAUGAGGGAAGAAAGUAUGUGAGACAUCAUGCUGACGGUACCUUUUGAAUAAGCCCCGGCUAAUUACGUGCCAGCAGCCGCGGUAAUACGUAAGGGGCGAGCGUUGUUCGGAAUCAUUGGGCGUAAAGGGUGCGUAGGCUGGAAGCCAAGUCAGAUGUGCAAUAUUAGGGCUCAACUUUGAUACUGCGUCUGAAACUCGCUUUCUAGAGGUUUGCAGAGGUUAGCGGAAUUCCUGGUGUAGGAGUGAAAUCUAUAGAUAUCAGGAAGAACACCGAUGGCGAAGGCAGCUAACUGGGUUUUACCUGACGCUGAAGCACGAAAGCCAGGGUAGCGAACGGGAUUAGAUACCCUUGUAGUC